GCUCAGGUAGGGGAGGGGCGCUCUCCGCCGUGACGGAGGCUAUGCUUUCCGGGGCGUAGACCAGCGUUCUGACCGUGGUUUGUGUUCC
rnacentral:tRNA from 1 species